rnacentral:rRNA from 1 species
CCAAUAGCGUAUAUUAAAGUUGUUGCAGUUAAAAAGCUCGUAGUUGAAUUUCGGGAUUGACUCGAUGGUCGUGCCUUAAGGGGUAUGAACUGUCGUUGUUGAUUUCUCACCUUCUGGAGAAGCUUGAUGUCCUUAAUUGGAUGUCUUGUGGAACCAGGACCUUUACCUUGAAAAAAUUAGAGUGUUUAAAGCAGGCAUUUUGCUCGAAUACAUUAGCAUGGAAUAAUAGAAUAGGACGGCAUGGUUCUAUUUUGUUGGUUUCUAGGAUCACCGUAAUGAUUAAUAGGGAUAGUUGGGGGCAUUAGUAUUCAAUUGUCAGAGGUGAAAUUCUUGGAUUUAUUGAAGACUAACUACUGCGAAAGCAUUUGCCAAGGAUGUUUUCAUUAAUCAAGAACGAAAGUUAGGGGAUCGAAGACGAUCAGAUACCGUCGUAGUCUUAACCAUAAACUAUGCCGACUAGGAAUCAGACGAUGUUAAUUUUUUAAUGACUCGUUUGGCACCUUACG